UUGCGGUUAAAAAGCUCGUAGUUGGAUUUCUGUUGAGAACAGGCGGUCCACCUUUUGGGUGAGUAUCUGCAUUGGUCUCGGCAUCUUCUCGAAAUACGUUUCUGCGCUUGAUUGCGUGGUGCGGAGUUCGGGACUUUUACUUUGAGGAAAUUAGAGUGUUCACGGCAGGCAUACGCCUUGAAUAUAUUAGCAUGGAAUAAUAAUAUAGGAUCUUGGUUCUAUUUGUUGGUUUCUAGGGCUAAGGUAAUGAUUAAUAGGGAUAAUUGGGGGCAUUUGUAAUAACGCGUCAGAGGUGGAAUUCUUGGAUUGCGUUACGACAAACUACUGCGAAAGCAUUUGCCAAGGAUGUUUUCAUUGAUCAAGAACGAAAGUAUGGGGAUCGAAGAUGAUUAGAUACCGUCCGUAGUCUAUACCAUAAACCUAUGCCGACUAGGGAUUGGAGGUCGUUCUUUUUAUGACUCCUUCAGCACCUUAUGAGAAAUCAAAGUCUUUGGGUUCCCGGGGGGAGUAUAGUCGCAAGGCCUGA
rnacentral:rRNA from 1 species